AUUGAACGCUGGCGGCAUGCCUAACACAUGCAAGUCGAACGGCAGCAUGGUCUAGCUUGCUAGACUGAUGGCGAGUGGCGAACGGGUGAGUAACGCGUAGGAAUAUACCCUAAAGAGUGGGACAACUUGGGGAAACUCAAGCUAAUACCGCAUAAACUCUGAGGAGCAAAGCUGGGGACCGUAAGGCCUGGCGCUUUAGGAAUAGCCUGCGUCCGAUUAGCUAGUUGGUGGGGUAAAGGCCUACCAAGGCGACGAUCGGUAGCUGGUCUGAGAGGAUGGUCAGCCACACUGGGACUGAGACACGGCCCAGACACCUACGGGUGGCAG
rnacentral:rRNA from 1 species